rnacentral:rRNA from 1 species
UACGGGGGGGGCAAGCGUUGUUCGGAAUUACUGGGCGUAAAGGGCUCGUAGGUGGCCAACUAAGUCAGACGUGAAAUCCCUCGGCUUAACCGGGGAACUGCGUCUGAUACUGGAUGGCUUGAGUUCGGGAGAGGGAUGCGGAAUUCCAGGUGUAGCGGUGAAAUGCGUAGAUAUCUGGAGGAACACCGGUGGCGAAGGCGGCAUCCUGGACCGACACUGACGCUGAGUGCGCGAAAGCCAGGGGAGCGAACGGGG